rnacentral:rRNA from 1 species
UACACACGCCCGUCACACCAUGGGAGUUGGUUUCACCCGAAGGCGCUACGCUAACCCGCAAGGGAGGCAGGCGACCACGGUGGGAUCAGCGACUGGGUG